rnacentral:rRNA from 1 species
AAGAUGAGCUCGCGUUCUAUCAGCUAGUUGGUGAGGUAAAAGCUCACCAAGGCUACGACGGAUAGCUGGUCUGAGAGGACGAUCAGCCACACUGGGACUGAGACACGGCCCAGACUCCUACGGGAGGCUGCAGCAGGGAAUAUUGCGCAAUGAGCGAAAGCUUGACGCAGCGACACCGCGUGUGGGAUGACGGAUCUAGGUUUGUAAACCACUUUCAGGAGGGAAGAAAAUGACGGUACCUCCACAAGAAGCCCCGGCCAACUACGUGCCAGCAGCCGCGGUAAUACGUAGGGGGCGAGCGUUGUCCGGAUUUAUUGGGCGUAAAGAGCUCGUAGGCGGUUCAACAAGUCGGUCGUGAAAGUUCAGGGCUCAACCCUGAAAUGUCGAUCGAUACUGUUGUGACUAGGAUACGGUAGAGGUGAGUGGAAUUCCGAGUGUAGCGGUGAAAUGCGUAGAUAUUCGGAGGAACACCAAUUGCGAAGGCAGCUCACUGGGCCGCUAUCGACGCUGAGGAGCGAAAGCAUGGGUAGCGAAGAGGAUUAGAUACCCUCGUAGUCCAUGCCGUAAACGAUGUGUGCUAGACGUUGGAAACAUAGUUUUCAGUGUCGCAGCGAAAGCAUUAAGCACACCGCCUGGGGAGUACGACCGCAAGGUUAAAACUCAAAUGAAUUGACGGGGACCCGCACAAGCAGUGGAGCAUGUGGUUUAAUUCGAAGAUACGCGCAGAACCUUACCAACACUUGACAUGUUCGUCGCGACUCUAAGAGAUUAGAGUUUUCGGUUCGGCCGGACGAAACACAGGUGCUGCAUGGCUGUCGUCAGCUCGUGUCGUGAGAUGUUGGGUUAAGUCCCGCAACGAGCGCAACCCCCACUUUUAGUUGCCACCAUUUAGUUGGGCACUUUAAAAGAACUGCCAGUGAUAAGCUGGAGGAAGGUGGGGAUGACGUCAAGUCCUCAUGGCCCUUACGUGUUGGGCUACACACGUGCUACAAUGGUACUUACAAUGGGAAGCAAAGAGGCGACUCCUAGCUAAUCCCAAAAAUGUACCUCAGUUCGGAUUGUACUCUGUAACUCGAGUGCAUGAAGCUGGAAUUGCUAGUAAUCGCGGAUCAGCGCGCCGCGGUGAAUACGUUCCCGGGUCUUGUACACACCGCCCGUCACACCAUGGAAGUUGGUUACACCUUAAGGCAAAGCUUAAAACCUUUGACUACGGUACGAUCAGCGACUGGGGUGAAGUCGUAACAAGGUAACCGUA